GAAACCAAGAGCACCAGAGUGGUGCUCUUUUUGGGAUGGGAGAAAUUAUCACACCACAAAAAAGAGAGAUCUAACUCCUGCAUAUAUAAAAUAUUACAUGCAUUCAGUAACAAUAAUAAAUAAAUUACUGACAAUUCCAGUUUGAAGUAGGUAUCAAAGACAUACAUCUAACAUUAAGCUUAAGAAUGAGCCCAAACCAAUUAUCUCCACAGCACUGCACUGUAGAACCACCCCGCCUGUCACAGCUCCCCCUCUCAGCUGUCUCAGUCCUCCUCUGCAGCAGCUGUCUGUCCGCAAGGACGCAGCUGUAGAACAUCUUCGAUGGCAAAACAGAGAGGGGAAACACUUGAGUCAGCCCUCUUGUCAGCUCACCGCUUCAGACAGAGGACAUCGGGGCAAAAACCAAGGAGAUGCAUAGGAACAGAAAACGAAACUCCUGGGCCCGGCAGCGCAGAACAGACAGGUACCAGCUCUGCAGGAGCAGCUUCCAGCCAUGCCCUCCGGUCAGCCCCCGGGCGCCCUCCUCGUAACACGCACCAACACAACUCCCACCGAGCGCCCAAGGUGCUUUUCUCCAGUAAAGGCUGACAGAGAUGCCAGGAGGCUGCGCUCUCACAGGUUAAGAACUGCUUCACAGCACAAAUACCGAGUGAAAACUUUGUGAGAUUUCGUAAGAGGUACUUCUGAGCCCGACCGUGCAGCUGCGCGCCUCGCUGAGAAGUGACCCGAGCACGCGAGCAGCCGGAGCACGGCGCAGCCUUUGCACUCCGCAGGUGCCUCGCGCUGAGGAAACCGUGAGAGAUUGGCACCCAAAUCACAGCAGCUGCUGCCUCCUUCCAAACAUCCAUACAUCGUGAGCUUGCCCUGACUGCGCCAUCAUUACCAUGAGUUGAUUUGGACGCCCAGCGAGCAGUACAGGCUUUUUUUUUUUUUUACGGUGAUCACACCUUGCAUUUUGCAACGGCAGGCUGAAGUUAUUGCUCCACCGCCUCUGGGCGGGGAAGCGCCCUGACCUCCAUACCGGUCCCCCCCCGCCCCGGCGGCUGCCCCUUACCUGCUGCCGCUGCUGCCCUCUGCCGGCGGCCCCGGGCCGGCGAGGUGAGCCCCGCUUCGUGCCGCGGCCACACGCGGGCGGCAGCGCGGCGCCUCCCCG
rnacentral:lncRNA from 1 species